AAAUGACUCUGUUUUGCUUUCGAUCGAAUUACGUCAAUGUCGAAGUAUGGGCAAUAUUAGCUUUUUAUAAAGACUGGUCUUAAAGGUGAGAUAUACAUAAAUGGUUCAAAUGAAGAUAUUUUUCGUAAUUAGAAGCGAUUCCGACACUCUAAGUAUACAUCACUGUGGACGAAGAGCACCAGGAGAAUUUGCGAAGACGACUACUAUGUAAAAAAAGAAAUAGGUCCAUUCAUAACGCAAUACAUCAAUCAAAAUAACGGAAAAACUAAAAGGCUAUAAGUAUACAAGUAAAAGUUAAACAAGAGAGAGCGCUAAAGUCAAGUUGCCCGUCUGUCAGAUACCCGCAACUAAGGUUGUGGAAGAGCUUCCUUCUGCCCGUUACAUACUUUUCAACGAAAAUAGUAUACCCUUUUACUCUAAAAUUUAUAUAUACAAGAGUCGAGUUUUCUCUUCGACUUACAGAUACCCUUUACUCAGUUAGUGGAAAUGCGAUCGAGAAAUUUCAACAUUUUUUUGACACCGAUAGAAAUAGACAAGGCAAAUAAUUAAACGAAAAAAUUAAAACCUUUAUUUAGAAGUGUGGACGUGAAAAUUUUGGGACGUUUGUCGGCGCGGCAAAACGUUUUUGGCAAAUCAAUAAAAAUUUACAAAACUCAUAAAAAAAUGAAAAUAUUUCAACACAUUUUCCAAAAAUGACGGUUUUGUGUGGUUGAUGUUCUUCGCAUCAUUUGGAAAGAAACUUGCGGCUCUGUCUUUAGAAUCGUGUUCCUGAUUAUACUUAAUAUAUACUGAAUAAUAAACUAUUCUAUAAUUAAAAAACAA